rnacentral:rRNA from 1 species
UACGAGGGGGGCAAGCGUUGUUCGGAUUUAUUGGGCGUAAAGGGUGCGUAGGCGGUUUGGCAAGUCUUAUGUGAAAUCUAUGGGCUCAACCCAUAGUCUGCAUGAGAAACUACCGGGCUUGAGUAUUGGAGAGGUGAGUGGAAUUUCCGGUGUAGCGGUGAAAUGCGUAGAUAUCGGAAGGAACACCUGUGGCGAAAGCGGCUCACUGGACAAUAACUGACGCUGAUGCACGAAAGCUAGGGGAGCAAACAG